rnacentral:rRNA from 1 species
CUACGGGUGGCUGCAGUGAGGAAUUUUGCGCAAUGGGGGGAACCCUGACGCAGCAACGCCGCGUGAGUGAUGAAGGCUUUCGGGUCGUAAAGCUCUGUCAAGUGGGAAGAACCUAUGCAGUGUUAAUAUCACUGUAUACUGACGGUACCACUGAAGGAAGCACCGGCUAACUCCGUGCCAGCAGCCGCGGUAAUACGGGGGGUGCAAGCGUGAUUCGGAAUCAUUGGGCGUAAAGGGCACGUAGGCGGCUUGGUAAGUCAGAUGUGAAAGCCCGGGGCUUAACCCCGGAAGUGCAUUUGAUACUGUCAGGCUUGAGUAUGGGAGAGGGAAGUGGAAUUCCUGGUGUAGAGGUGAAAUUCGUAGAUAUCAGGAGGAACACCGGUGGCGAAGGCGACUUCCUGGACCAAUACUGACGCUGAGGUGCGAAGGCGUGGGUAGCAAACAGGAUUAGAUACCCCCGUAGUC